GCGAAUGGUGGAUGCCUUGACUGGUAAAGGCGAUGAAGGACGUACUAGACUGCGAUAAGCUACGGGGAGCUGUCAAGAAGCUUUGAUCCGUAGAUUUCCGAAUGGGGCAACCCAAUGUAUAGAGAUAUACAUUACCUAUAUAGGAGCGAACGAGGGGAAUUGAAACAUCUUAGUACCCUCAGGAAAAGAAAUCAAUAGAGAUUGCGUCAGUAGCGGCGAGCGAAAGCGCAAGAGGGCAAACCCAGUGCUUGCACUGGGGGUUGUAGGACUGCAAUGUGCAAGAGGUAAGUUUAGCAGAACAUUCUGGAAAGUAUAACCAUAGAGGGUGAUAGUCCCGUAUGCGAAAAACAAACCUUAGCUAGCAGUAUCCUGAGUAGGGCGGGACACGAGGAAUCCUGUCUGAAUCCGGGUCGACCACGAUCCAACCCUAAAUACUAAUACCAGAUCGAUAGUGCACAAGUACCGUGAGGGAAAGGUGAAAAGAACUGAGGUGAUCAGAGUGAAAUAGAACCUGAAACCAUUUGCUUACAAUCAUUCAGAGCCCUAUGUAGCAAUACAGGGUGAUGGACUGCCUUUUGCAUAAUGAGCCUGCGAGUUGUGGUGUCUGGCAAGGUUAAGCAAACGCGAAGCCGUAGCGAAAGCGAGUCUGAAUAGGGCGCUUAGUCAGAUGCUGCAGACCCGAAACGAAGUGAUCUAUCCAUGAGCAAGUUGAAGCUAGUGUAAGAACUAGUGGAGGACUGAACCCAUAGGCGUUGAAAAGCCCCGGGAUGACUUGUGGAUAGGGGUGAAAGGCCAAUCAAACUUCGUGAUAGCUGGUUCUCUCCGAAAUAUAUUUAGGUAUAGCGUUGUGUCGUAAUAUAAGGGGGUAGAGCACUGAAUGGGCUAGGGCAUACACCAAUGUACCAAACCCUAUCAAACUCCGAAUACCUUAUAUGUAAUCACAGCAGUCAGGCGGCGAGUGAUAAAAUCCGUCGUCAAGAGGGAAACAACCCAGACUACCAGCUAAGGUCCCUAAAUCUUACUUAAGUGGAAAACGAUGUGAAGUUACUUAAACAACCAGGAGGUUGGCUUAGAAGCAGCCAUCCUUUAAAGAAAGCGUAAUAGCUCACUGGUCUAGUGAUUUUGCGCGGAAAAUAUAACGGGGCUAAAGUAAGUACCGAAGCUGUAGACUUAGUUUACUAAGUGGUAGGAGAGCGUUCUAUUUGCGUCGAAGGUAUACCGGUAAGGAGUGCUGGAGCGAAUAGAAGUGAGCAUGCAGGCAUGAGUAGCGAUAAUUAAUGUGAGAAUCAUUAACGCCGUAAACCCAAGGUUUCCUACGCGAUGCUCGUCAUCGUAGGGUUAGUCGGGUCCUAAGUCGAGUCCGAAAGGGGUAGACGAUGGCAAAUUGGUUAAUAUUCCAAUACCAACAUUAGUGUGCGAUGGAAGGACGCUUAGGGCUAAGGGGGCUAGCGGAUGGAAGUGCUAGUCUAAGGUCGUAGGAGGUUAUACAGGCAAAUCCGUAUAACAAUACUCCGAGAACUGAAAGGCUUUUUGAAGUCUUCGGAUGGAUAGAAGAACCCCUGAUGCCGUCGAGCCAAGAAAAGUUUCUAAGUUUAGCUAAUGUUGCCCGUACCGUAAACCGACACAGGUGGGUGGGAUGAGUAUUCUAAGGCGCGUGGAAGAACUCUCUUUAAGGAACUCUGCAAAAUAGCACCGUAUCU
rnacentral:rRNA from 1 species